rnacentral:lncRNA from 1 species
UCCUGGCUGAGAACCUUAAUAACCCACAUGACAUUGUAAUCUUCCAUGAGCUGAAGCAGCCAAAGGCUGCAGAUGCCUGUGAGCUGAGUGCCCAGCCCAAUGGCGGCUGUGAAUACCUGUGCCUUCCUGCUCCUCAGAUCUCCAGCCACUCUCCCAAGUACACCUGUGCCUGUCCUGACACAAUGUGGCUGGGCCCAGACAUGAAGAGAUGCUACCGAGCACCUCCGUCUACCUCAACUACAACCUUAGCCUCUGCUAUGACAAGGACAGUACCUGCUACUACGGGAGCCCCUGGGACAACCAUCCACGACUCUACCUACCAGAACCACAGCACAGAGAUGCCAAGCCAGACAGCUGCCGUCCCUCACUCAGUGAACAUCCCUAAG